rnacentral:tRNA from 1 species
GGGAAAUAGUUCAAUGGUAGAACAGCGGUCUCCAAAACCGUUGAUCUGGGUUCGACUCCUUGUUUCCCC